rnacentral:misc_RNA from 1 species
GAUGAAGAACGCAGCGAAAUGCGAUAAGUAGUGUGAAUUGCAGAAUUCAGUGAAUCAUCGAAUCUUUGAACGCACAUUGCGCCCCUUGGUAUUCCAUGGGGCAUGCCUGUUCGAGCGUCAUUUGUACCCUCAAGCUUUGCUUGGUGUUGGGCGUCUUGUCGUAUUACGACUCGCCUUAAAUACAUUGGCAGCCGGCACUUUGGCCUAGGAGCGCAGCACAUUUUGCGAUCGUAGCCCGUUGUACUGGCGUCCAUCAAGAACAUUUACCACGUUUGACCUAGGAUCAGGUAGGGAUACCCGCUGAACUUAAGCAUAUCAAUAAGCGGAGGA